rnacentral:rRNA from 1 species
CUCUGUAUUGCGUUGGAAACUGUAUAACUAGAGUACUGGAGAGGUAAGCGGAACUACAAGUGUAGAGGUGAAAUUCGUAGAUAUUUGUAGGAAUGCCGAUGGGGAAGCCAGCUUACUGGACAGAUACUGACGCUAAAGCGCGAAAGCGUGGGUAGCAACAGG